AGCAGCCGCGGUAAUUCCAGCUCCAAUAGCGUAUAUUAAAGUUGUUGCAGUUAAAAAGCUCGUAGUUGAAUUUCGGGAUCAAAUUGUCGGUCGUGCCUCGGUACGAACUGGUAUUAUUGGUUCCUCCCUUCUGAAGAACCGCGAUGUCAUUAAUUUGGUGUCGUGGGGAAUCAGGACUGUUACUUUGAAAAAAUUAGAGUGUUUAAAGCAGGCUUACGCUUGAAUACAUUAGCAUGGAAUAAUGAAAUAGGACGUUUGAUUCUAUUUUGUGGUUUCUAGGAUCGACGUAAUGAUUAAUAGGGAUAGUUGGGGGCAUUAAUAUUCAAUUGUCAGAGGUGAAAUUCUUGGAUUUAUUGAAGACUAACUACUGCGAAAGCAUUUGCCAAGGAUGUUUUCAUUAAUCAAGAACGAAAGUUAGGGGAUCGAAGACGAUCAGAUACCGUCGUAGUCUUAACCAUAAACUAUGCCGACUAGGGAUCGGAUGAUGUAAUUUUUUAAUGACUCAUUCGGCGCCUUACGG
rnacentral:rRNA from 1 species